UACUUACAUCAAAGUAAAUAAAAGCAGGUAAAUCAGACUGAUUUACCUGCUUUUAUUUACUUUGAUGUAAGUAAUAAAUUUAC